CACUGUUACUGCUCCCACUGGAAGGCUAUUCCAUGUAUCUACUACCCUUUCUAUAUCACUGUUACUGCUCCCACUGGAAGGCUAUUCCAGGUAUCUACUACCCUUUCUAUAUCUCUGUUACCGAUCCCACUGGAAGGCUAUUCCAGGUAUCUACUACCCUUUCUAUAUCACUGUUACUGCUCCCACUGGAAGGCUAUUCCAGGUAUCUACUACCCUUUCUAUAUCACUGUUACUGCUCCCCCUGGAAGGCUAUUCCUGGUAUCUACUACCCUUUCUAUAUCACUGUUACUGCUCCUACUGGAAGGCUAUUCCAGGUAUCUACUACCCUUUCUAUAUCACUGUUAAUGCUCCCACUGGAAGGCUAUUCCAGGUAUCAACUACCCUUUCUAUAUCACUGUUACUGCUUCCACUGGAAGGCUAUUCCAGAUAUCUACUACCCUUUCUAUAUCACUGUUACUGCUCCCACUGGAAGGCUAUUCCAGGUAUCUACUACCCUUUCUAUAUCACUGUUACCGCUCCCACUGGAAGGCUAUUCCAGGUAUCUACUAUCCUUUCUAUAUCACUGUUACUGCUCCC